rnacentral:ncRNA from 7 species
UACGUAGGGGGCUAGCGUUAUCCGGAAUUACUGGGCGUAAAGGGUGCGUAGGUGGUUUCUUAAGUCAGAGGUGAAAGGCUACGGCUCAACCGUAGUAAGCCUUUGAAACUGGGAAACUUGAGUGCAGGAGAGGAGAGUGGAAUUCCUAGUGUAGCGGUGAAAUGCGUAGAUAUUAGGAGGAACACCAGUUGCGAAGGCGGCUCUCUGGACUGUAACUGACACUGAGGCACGAAAGCGUGGGGAGCAAACAGG